rnacentral:rRNA from 1 species
AGUAGCAAUACUCCGCCGGCGACCGGCGGACGGGUGAGUAACGCGUGGGUGACCUGCCUUUCAGAGGGGGACAACAGUUGGAAACGACUGCUAAUACCGCAUGACAUAUAGAUGUCGCAUGGCAUUUAUAUCAAAGAUUUAUCGCUGAAAGAUGGCCUCGCGUCUGAUUAGCUAGUUGGUGAGGUAACGGCCCACCAAGGCGACGAUCAGUAGCCGGACUGAGAGGUUGAACGGCCACAUUGGAACUGAGAGACGGUCCAAACUCC